UUCACAACUACAUGCUGUGGCGCAUCGUGGUGGUGCUGAGCGAGCACCUCUCCACGCCCUUCCGCGACGCCAUCCACGAGCUCUCCAAGGAGAUGGAGGGCAACGAGAAGCAGCUGGAGCCGGGGAAGAUCUGCCUGAGCCAGGCCAACAAGCACUUUGGCAUGGCCCUGGGAGCUCUCUUCGUGACAUGGGGGGGCUCAAACUGGCCUACUACGCCUACCAGAAGUGGGUGAGGGAGCACGGCCCCGAGCACCCCCUGCACCACAUGAAAUACACACACGACCAGCUCUUCUUCAUCGCCUUUGCCCAGGGGCUCCAGAGUGACCAAUACACUGGAUCUCAAAAUUCUAGGAAAUCCUGCAGCCAGGCAGCAUUCUGUCAAAGCAGGGGGAGGACUCCAGUGGCUCCAAGGGGCUGCCCCAUGCCAGAAGCCUCCCCUGCACAGUGCCCUCCCUGGCAUUCCCCAUGCCAGCCCCUCCUGUCCAUGCACCAGCCCUGCCCAGGUGGAGUACAGCGGCGCAGCCGGGCUGGGCGAUGCCAGCCUGCCUGGCAGCGCAGGCACACAGACACUGCUGUAUCUUUGGCUGCUGUUUCUGGUCAAUAAAGCACUGGAUAUGCUGGGUGGCUGCCAGGGGCCAUGGCCAGGGGAUGGGAGCAGUGGGCAGCACCCCCAGCCCUGCCCACACGGCACAGGCACCCCCAGUCCACGAGCA